CCGCUCCUCUGGGAAGCGGCAAGUCCGCCUGCCUGUCAAACCUCUCUCCAGAAAGCUACGACGUGCUGCGAAUGCCGAUGGUCCCCCACCGGGGGAAGGGGUGGAGAUUAUAGAGAAUUCUGCUUACAGUUCAGAUUCAAUAUUUGGGAGGGAUAAUCCUGAAAUAAGAGCUUGCCUGAUUUCUCUCCCGGGCCCAUGAAUGCCUCAUUAGCUGCUACUUGACAUCUGAUGGCUUAGUCUGAUUGGCCUUAUUGUGGACUCUAAGAAGUCCCCAAGACAGAGCAAUCAAGUUUCACAAUGAUCACAACUGCAGAUUCGACGGCGGCAUACACGACAGCUGUGCCUUGGCCCUGGUGACUGCUGGUUCUGCAUCGUGUCUCUGAACCCUGAUAUUUGUCACUUUUUUACGAUGAUGCUGCCACUGGGAAAUGUUACUCAUUAAAUUAUUGAGAGACCCAAGUCUUCAAUGUGAAAGGACCAGGCCAGACCCCCCUCUCCUGAAUGAAAGCCCUGCCUGGGGCUCUCCUCUCUCAUCCACUGCAUUGGUGAUAGUGGAGAGACCAAGCUUAAGCCAGAAUAAAGCUCUUGGCUCUUGCAUACAUGGUCUGGCUUCUGGUGGUCUUUGGGGACCUUAAGAUCUGGGCACAACAUGUGGGGGCUCAUCCAGGAUUCCCAAGACCAGCUAGGACCCCCGUCACCGCCUGGAGUUGGAACUGGCCCUUGGGAUUAGCAGACGGACGUGCUAUAAAUCCCCCUGCCUACGACACGGAAGACAUUCUUGCCACCUCUUUGGGGGAAACUCGGUUCUCAAUGGCGUUGGUGUUGAGGAGAGCCUGAAGCUCUCAAAUUGGUUCUUUGGUUGUUGGAAUUGGCCCUUGGGAUUAGCAGAUGAGCUGUAAACUCCGCUGGCCUGAGGUGAGAAGGUGCUCUUGCCACUUCUUUGGGAGAGCCUGAGUUCUCAUUGGUUUUGGUUUUGGGGAGAGCCUGGGAACUCUCAAAUUAGUUCUUUGGUUCUGGAUCCAGCAAAUGGUACCGCCGCCGUUCUCUGGUUGAUCGACCAAGUUUUCCCCGGGAACGUUUGUGUCUGUUCAUGAAUGUCCUUGUCACUGCUGUUGUUUCAUGGUGGAUCUUCUUAAAUUGAUUUAACCAUGGAUAAAACUUAGUUCUAGGCCAGCAGAGCCAUGAGUUAUGGCAGCUCAAGCACAAGCAGCAGGUCCAAGGUAGAGUGACUCAAGCCAUCCUCCAGCCUUUAGCUGUGGGUGGAAAAUAGCCUGUUGGGCCAGCAACAAUGGCCAUAGGAGUACAAGCCUGCCUCUGGGAGAAAAAAUGGUGGUGGUGGCUGCUUCUCUUCUGGGGGUUAGCAUGAGAGGGCAGAGGUGAGGAGGCAUGCUACAGGAUGGCUGCAGCAUGUGGCUUCCCAGGCCACACUGCCAGCAAGUAACAGAGUGCUUGAAAUUACAGCCAAAUGAAGUAAGGAGAGUUCUGUCUGGUUUACAUGUAUGUAUGGCCAUUACAUGUUUAUUUCUGACUGAUCUUAAAUGGUUAAUAUGCUCUGUACAUUUUAGUUAUAGAUUAACAGUUAUUGGAUAUGUUCAAAGUUUAAAUUCAAACUCUUGUUUAAAACAUAUGUGUGUGCAUAUGUGUUUGUAACAUCAAUAGAAACACAGUUGUUUUCAAAUAGCAACCAUGUGACUUGCCACGUGAUGCGACUCUGCCAUCUUGAAAUUGCCAUGUGGUGUGGGGUAGGGCAAAAAAAUUACAGAAUGUCUUAGUGAUAAUGAAUUCUGUUUAUCAUCCUAUCUCCUUUUACACUAAGAAGACAAGUCUCAUUUUAAAUUGGUAUUGAUUUUAGAGACUGAAUUGUUUACACUUGGAAAAUUUGGUUUGACUUUUAAAAUUAUGGUUAUGCUUUGUGACUUCACUCCUAAAAAGGGCACUUUAUUUUGAUAUUGCAGAAACGGAUUUCUUUUUAAAAUUAUGUUUAAGGCUAUGAAACAUUCUAAAUUUAUCAGGUAUUUUAUAAUCAUGUCUAUGGAUUUUAUAUGUAAAUAUAUAUAUAUAUAUACAUAUAUAUAUAUAUUUCAAGGUUGUGUUUUUGUGGCAUGCUGUAUGUGUGAGUCAGCCCUGGUUUGUAAAGGUCUAUUCAGAUUAACAGGCUGAUUUGAAGUGUGUGCCUGGCUGCCAGUUCCUGAAUGAACGGAUUGAUGCUGUUUCUUUCUUGCCACUAGGUUUGGUAUGGUCAGAAUAGUUGAAGUACAGUUUUAAAAUUGUUCUAUACUGUUCUAUUAUCCAAUUGGUUAUAAAACUUAUUUGAUCACAAUGCUAGAACUUGGUUACAGAAAACUGUAAAUGCUCCACGGUGCUGUACAGUGGGAGGCAACAACACCAUCAGUGACACCUAGUGGCUAUGUUUUGAAUUGUUGGCCACAGCCUGUAACAACACGUGGCUAGUGCCAUGUUGGUUCGGGGAUAAAGAGGGUGGAACAGUGGUUGUACCGCCAUCUUUGCUGAGAGCUGCCAACUGUGUUCAGUUCCCUGUUUGGUGCUAAGUGCAACAUCUGUCCUUUAAGCUUUUUGCUGUUCAGUCUUAAUAAUACAAUGUGGUAGGAUCAACAAGAUUUGCCAGUCUUCUAUAAACUGUAGGAUUAAAAGUUUUGCUUUGAUUUUAGUUCAGAAAUAUACUUAGAGUUAUACUAAUGACUGCAGUUGGUUACAAGCUUGAGCUUUACCUAGUCUCUUGUUUACAUUUUCAAGGUUAAGCCUAGGAUGGGUAACUACAAAGUUUGCCUGUGUAAAUCAACUUGAAAUAGAUAUGGUUCUAAUACACUUACCUAAGGAAUAUACCAGAAUUAGAGAUUAUAACAUUCUGUUUUACAGGAUGCAGUUUAGAGCAGAUAACUAAAGACAGACAAAGAUUAACCCAGAUAUGUUGGCCUUCAAGCUUGUCAGAUAUCGGAUGAAUAUGGCAUCUAAUGUAUGUAGGUUUUAUUAUGACAGAGUCCCAAAAUCCUGGCAGUAGCUCCCCAAGAUCUCCUAGAAGAUAUGGGCACAACGACAGAUGACUUAGACUCUGGAUUGUGGUAUGCUAACCACAGGGCAGGGCUGCCCCAACUGGCCCACCACUAGGGUGCAGCCUAAACUGUGGACAAAGCUGUGGACACCUAGAGACUCCAUUGUUUCACAUUGCUGAAGGCGAGGUGAGAUCAAUCUCUUAUGUACUUUAUCUACAGAAACAACCUCUCGUCUUCUGUGCCUGAUGGCCAGACUGCCUCUGCUCAUGAUGCUAUGAUACAGGAGCCAGACUGCCUAGGUGGUGGACUGACUAGUCAUCUCUGUCAUUUUGAUUGGUACAUUGAUUAGUACAUUUAUUUAGGUUAUAAUUUAUCCUUCUCAGGUCUCCGAUCACAUUGAUGGCUAAACUGGUAGCUUAGCUUAGCCAUCAAUGUGAUCAGAGCAGACAGUUAGAUCCACUGUUAGUUCAUUAGUCAAUUCAUUAGCUAGUUGGAACUACUAGGUACUAGAUCUCUUAUUUAGAGAGGCAAACAGGUUUGCCCUGUUCACAGGCUUCAUGUUAAUUGCCUGUGUCUUACGGUGAAUAACUGGAUAGAAAGAUGGAAAGUUAUGUAAGGUCAGAGGAUACGAAUGUUUAAGUUAUGAGGAUCUUAAAAAGUUGAGGCUCUAGGAAGAUGUUUCAAGGUUGGUAAAUGAAAGUUAUGAAGGAAAGCCUCUGUAAGAAGGUGUUUCAAAGCUGGUAAAUGCAAGGGAGAUUGGAGGGUCUCAGUAGGUAUUUUAAGGUUGGUAAAUGCAAAUUGUAAAGUGUUUGUGGGCCUAAAAGGGUGUUUUAAGGUAUGUAAAUGCAAGUUGUAAUGAUAAAAGAAAGUAAUUUAAGGUAUAUUGAAAAUGGGAGAUAUUUCAGAUUCCUCCCAUGCUAUUGUUGUGCUUUGGUUGUUAUAAGAUUUCAAAGAUUCAGAGUUUUGACAUUAAUCAAUAGAGUUCUGACUAGUUGAACUCUAGUUGGAGCACCGACUACUUUAACCAGUCACAAUCCUGAGAUUUUAAUUUCCCUUUGGUUGUCUUCUGGAGAUAGACUUAAAGGUGCUUCUCAUCAUGCUAAAAACAUCUGUCAAAUGUGUAUAUCUCUGAUCCAAAAGCCAUAGCUUAAUGGCAUGGCUUAAUGGGUCUUAAUGGCAUGAAUCUACUUCUGCUGUCUUGCAGACACCUGUUACCUGCUUUGUCUCAAGUAUGGAUAUCAAUACAAUGGUGAUGCUAAUAUACUUCUUUUUGUAAACUAAAAUUCAUAUGAGUUUCAGGAAAUCAAAAAUGUCAUAAGACCUGGAUCUGACAUAGUUCAAACAGACCCCAGAUGAGUUUUUCCCUUGGUCUUGGGAUUCCUCACUUUCCCCAUUUACUAGACAAAUUUUAACUUCUGUCUCUAGUCUGAAUUUGUCUCAGCAGAUUUUCACCUGGCUGACAGACUCCAUUCAGCUAUCAGCUAUGGACUGCAAGCUGAAACCUGGACUUGCUGAAAGCUGAAGUAAUCCAGUACAGCUGAUGUGAUGGCUCCCUGUCUCUUCAACUGGAUUGCUAAUUAGAUGGUGCCCUGUUGCCUAGUUAGCCUUUCAGCCUUCCUGGGUCCCCAAUAUCUCUGCCCCAAUGUCAGCCUGAAGAAGCUACAGAAGAAGAGAAAUUUGUUGGCCUUAUCCUACCUCACAGGCUGAAAUGCUAAGUCAAAAGGGGUUCCCUGGCAUAUGGAAUGGGUUUCUAUAAUGUCAAUUGACAUACCAGAAAAUUGGCUCUUAGUUCUCUCUUCUAGUCAUGCUUUGUGCCCCCUUCAUGAUUAUGCCUAGUCUCAAUACCAGCCCUUGGACCCAUUGCAAAGAUUUGAGGUUGUAUCCUGUUCAAGGGGGGAAUGAAAGGACCAGGUCUGACCCCCCUCCCCCAAAAAUCAUCAGUCCCAGGAACUAGGCCAUCGGUCACCAAUUCCAGAAAUAAGAAAACCGUAAAAUUCCCUACCCAAGGAAUAGCCUGGAGGUGACCACAAGAAUGGGAAGGUAUCUUAUCUCAGGGUUGGGCAUCUGUGCUGGGCAGCCCACCCACCUAACAUUCCUGAGGUCUAGCUUACUCAGUGUUAGUUAUGUUAGUUAGCCAAUCACUUUGUGACAAUCUUGCCCUUGCUGAAUGUCAUCCAAUUGUGUAACUGCUAAGCUGGGAAUUUCCGGGUUCUUGCUCAAGCCCCAAAUAAAAACCCUGCCAUGUAGCUGCUCAGGGCUCUCCUCUCUGAUCCACUGCAUCGGUGAUGGUGGAGAGACCGAACUUAAGCCCAA